UACGUAGGGUGCAAGCGUUGUCCGGAAUUAUUGGGCGUAAAGAGCUCGUAGGCGGUUUGUCACGUCGGCCGUGAAAACUCGGGGCUCAACCCCGAGCCUGCGGUCGAUACGGGCAGACUAGAGUGCUGUAGGGGAGACUGGAAUUCCUGGUGUAGCGGUGAAAUGCGCAGAUAUCAGGAGGAACACCCGUGGCGAAGGCGGCUCUCUGGGACGGUACUGACGCUGAGACGCGAAAGCGUGGGGAGCGAACAGG
rnacentral:rRNA from 1 species